rnacentral:rRNA from 1 species
UACGUAGGUGUCGAGCGUUGUCCGGAUUUACUGGGCGUAAAGAGCGCGCAGGCGGUCGUUCAAGUCGCGUGUGAAAGCCCCCGGCUCAACUGGGGAGGGUCACGCGAUACUGAUCGACUCGAAGGCAGGAGAGGGUAGUGGAAUUCCCGGUGUAGUGGUGAAAUGCGUAGAUAUCGUAAGGAAGACCAGUGGCGAAGGCGAAUCUCUGGACAGUUACUGACACUGAGGCACGAAGGCCAGGGGAGCAAACGGG